CGCAUCUGUGCAUGCAGCAUAUCAAUAAGCGGAGGAAAAGAAACUAACAAGGAUUCCCUUAGUAACGGCGAGUGAAGCGGGAAGAGCUCAAAUUUGAAAUCUUGCAAGGUUUACCUUUCACGAAUUGUAGUUUAAAGAAGUGUUUUCUGCUUACGAUUUGGUAAUAAGUUCUUUGGAAUAGGACAUCAUAGAGGGUGAGAAUCCCGUAUAUUGACAUUGGAUUUGUCAGCUUUGUGAUACACUUUCAAAGAGUCGGAUUGUUUGGGAAUGCAGUCCAAAAUGGGUAGGUAAAUUUCUUCUAAGGCUAAAUAUUGGCGAGAGACCGAUAGCGAACAAGUACCGUGAGGGAAAGAUGAAAAGAACUUUGAAAAGAGAGUUAAAUAGUACGUGAAAUUGUCAAAAGGGAAGCGUUUAACACCAGUGUUGUUUUCUGAAAAUCAGCCUCUGUUAGCUUUAUGCAUGUUUGUUUAGACCUAAUCAGCUAUCUUGCAUGUUCUAUUGUUUGCAGUGGUGCACUUUUCAGUUUACAGGUCAACAUCAGUUUUUUUUACCGUAAAAAAGUUAAAGAAAGGUAGCUCAUGGCUCCGGUCGUGAGUGUUAUAGUCUUUUUCCUAUGCGGUAGGAGAGACUGAGGUCUGCAGUGUAGGCUAUUUGGCUAGAUACUCAGGUGCUAUGUGAUACCAUUUCAUAAACAACUUGUUGAUUAUGUUUUGUCUAUUGCAUACUCGCUUGUACUAUCAUACCUACGCUUAGGAUGUUGACGAUCAGCUGAGCGCG
rnacentral:rRNA from 1 species